rnacentral:misc_RNA from 1 species
UUCCGUAGGUGAACCUGCGGAAGGAUCAUUAAUAAAUGGUCUACGUUUUUUAAGUAGACGCUUAAUAUCCUACCUUUUGUGAAUUGUUGUUCUGAAAUAAUUUUUUUUUAAAAUUAUUGAUUGUCUUUCCCUGUUGAAUUGGUUGUCUUAAUGGCAAAUGAUUCGCAGGGAGUGUCAGUAAUUUUAAAAGACCUUUUUAAAAUUAAACUUUUGUAUUCAUUUGUCUAAAUAUUUUUAUAAUAUAAAAACAACUUUGACAAUGGAUCUCUUGGUUCUCGCAACGAUGAAGAACGCAGCAAAAUGCGAUAAGUAGUGUGAAUUGCAGAAUACGUGAAUCAUCGAAUCUUCGAACGCAUAUUGCACUUUUUUAGUUUACUAAAAAGUAUGUCUGUUUGAGUAUCAGUAAAUAUUCUCAUAAAAACAUUGUUUUUAUGGUUAUGAGUGUUUUACGACGAUACAAGUUGUUUCACUUUAAAUUUUUUAAAAUUUGAAUUUUCUAAUUUAAAAUAAAAUUGGAUAAAAUUUCCCGUAAAAGGAAUAACCUAAACAAUUUUAAAUUUUUGAUUAGAAUUCUUCACAUUCUAAAGGAAAAUUUAACUAAUAACUUGAUCUCAAAUCAGAUAAGAGUACCGCUGAACUUAGCAUAUCAAUAAGCGGAGGAAAAGAACUAACAAGGAUUCCUUGGUAACGGCGAGUGAAGCGGGAAGAGCUCAAAUUUGAAUCUUCAAGGUUUUACCUUGACGAAUUGUAGUUAAAGAAGUGUUUUCUGUUGAAGUUUUGGUAAAGUUCUUGGAAUAGGACAUCAUAGAGGUGAGAAUCCGUAUUGACCAUUAUUUCAGCUGUGUGAUACACUUCAAAGAGUCGGAUUGUUUGGGAAUGCAGUCCAAAUGGUGGUAAAUUCAUCUAAAGCUAAUAUUGGCGAGAGACCGAUAGCGAACAGUACCGUGAGGGAAAGAUGAAAGAACUUUGAAAGAGAGUUAAACAGUACGUGAAUUGUCAAAGGAGCGUUUGACACCAGUGUUGUUUCUCGAAAUCAAUUAAAAAAGUUGGAUUUGUGUUGUAUUGACCUUAACAGCUUGCUUCACUCUUUUCCUGCUUUUUUAAUGCACUUUUCGUUUAACAAGUCAACAUCAGUUUCUUUGUUGUAAAAGGUCAUUGGAAGGUGGCUUCUCUUCGGAGAAAGUGUUUAUAGCCUUUGAUCUCUGCAAUCGGAGAGACUGAGGUCUGCAGCGUAGAUCCUUCGGGUUAGAUACAUUGUGCUAAGCUACAGCUUUCAUAGACAACUUGUUGACUAUGUUUAGUCUUGUAACUUACCCGCUUAUGCUAUU